UCAGCCAAGUUUCACUCUUAGCAGGGCUCUGCUAAUGAAUUCUGCAUUCAGAGUCUAGUGUUCUUAGUGAAAGAUGAGACUGGCAUGAACAGAGAGGAGAAAGGAGAUGGGAAGAGAGAAACUUGGACCCAGUUAGAAAGGGGGUUGUGUUGGGCUGACGCUUUUAAGCUAAGAAGAACUUGUGAAAAGAAAGGGGAAGAAACAUAGAUGCACAAGAAAACUAUGACUGAAGAGAGUGGAAGAUAAAGAAGCAGUAAAGCCAGAAAAUGUGACCUUCCUGCUUGUUUUUAACAUAAGGAUUCGCUUCGAGAUCAAAAGGGAAAGAACAAGGGUGCACAGAUAAUCUGCUCUCCACCAGACUGACCGUGUAUUGCAAAAUGGACAGUUGUACAAUAUUAUUUCUAAUUUUGAGUGAUAGAUUCAAGAAUGCUUUCUGUGAUGUUCAAACCUUGAAAUAUUGUUUUUAUAAAUUUUACCUGUUUUAAACUUCUCCAUUAUUUUAUCCUUCACCUGUCUCGUGUUUAUUGAUUUUCAUGAUGUGGUUUGUUCCCUAAUGUUUUCUAACAAACCUCUGGGACCUUUGCAGAACAGCUGCAAUUAUACUAAGAUUAGAUCACACACAGGAAAACUCUAUUGACAUUUACGUAGCUUUUGACAUAGGGCUGCUUGACUAUGUAAAAAAAAAAAAAAAAGAAAAUCACCAUUAUUUAAAACUGAUUAGUCAUUGAGUUUAG